AUAUAAACAUGUAAUGGGACAUUACUAUAUUAUUUUCCCUAUUUUCUAAAAUCUUAUUCAAGCCGCAAACCCCAUCCGAAGUUCUGAACACCCUCAUUUCCCACUUACACCCUUCCAUCGUUCCUGCUCACCAUUUCAGUUGUUCAUGCUCGUCGCUCGCUAUUAUUGUGCUAGGUCGUUUCUCCUCCUUCUUCCAUUCUAAUUUUUCAGUUCUAAUUUGUAAUUACUCUAAUAUUGUCUCGUUUUGUUUAAUCUAUUUUAAGGUAAAACCGACGACCGUUGAUUGCGGCUCAUCCUAGAAAUUUCCAUUGAAGAACAUGGAAUCUCAAUUUCGAAAUUAUGAGGCAUAUCAAACAUGGAUACACCUAUGGCGUCAGUGAAAGUGUCUUUGCUGCUAGAGAAACCAACUCACUGAAGGAUAUCAGUUGGCAUUUCCACCAUAGCUGGUGCGUAUUGAGAGAUCGAAAAUCAAGUCAGUGAAGUCACUAAAGGUAUGUUAAGCUAAUACGGCAUCUCUUUCAAUCAUCUGCUACUACUUUCCGUAUCUGAAUUGUGUUUGCAUACUUAUAUAAGUAGAAUUUCUUAGGCACAAUCAGAUAUCUUCCCAUAGGAUAUACACUAAAGGUAUGUUAACCCAAAAAAAAUAGUACUUGAAGAUCCAAACAAAGCUUAAAAGUGCAAGUACCCUGACCAUAAAACCAAGAAUCCGGACACCUGCAUGGUAUUUUUGUUGCUACUCUUUAGCAGGUCCCUUAAAUGUAUCUGAGUAAAUUCAGAAGUAAAAACAAAUUAACAGAACAAAGAAUGGAACAAUGUAAAGAUAAUUAGUAGUAACAUUUACACUUCAGCUUCAGAUCCAUUUCUGAUGCAUUCGGAAACACACUGUGCAUGUACUUUUCUAUAUUCCUUUCAUCUUUAAGUUACUUUUUCUUUUCACCAUCUUUUUUGCCAUUUUUUUUUGUUGAGAUACAAAAAUUAAAUGCAGGGCGAAAAGCCGAAAAAAGAGCUCAACAGCUAAACAUGUACGAAUUAUUGACAAAACAUCAAAACCCAAUCCCCAUAGGCCAUAGGUUAGCUACUUAGAACAAACCCUCUAGGAGGUACCCCUCUAAGUAGCUUGGGCAAUACAAUCAGGCUAGAAAAAAAGCGCAAAAAACACCAUUUCUUUACAAUUUAACACUUCACAUUUUUUUUGGUUUCAUAAUUUAUAGUCCAAAUCAAAUUAUAAAACCAAAAUUUUAAAAAGAACUCAGUCCAAAUUGAACCGAAUUGAAUUUAUUUUUACCUUGAAAUAAUACUCACUUGAUUUUGACUUUUUUUUGCUAGGAUUUAUACCAUCCUCUAUUAGUUGGUGAUACUAGUGUAGACUAGCUGUUGUAUUAUAUUCAUUUUCUUUUCUGAUUCUUUGGUUAUGUAUUUCUUGGAUGAUGCCGACUAAGUUAGUUAUUAUGGUGUUGAAUCUCUUUGGUUCUCAUUUCCCCUGGUUUUGAUGAUGCUCAUAGCAGCAAGUUUAAUUCUCUUGAUAUUUCUUUCUAACUGUGUCUAACAAUUCAAAGCAAGGAGCCUUCGAUUUUGACCACUAGAUCAGAAUGACUUACAAAAUAAAUAGCUAGGUUCAAUUGUUGCUGCCUAAGGUAACAUAAUAAAGUUUGUCCAGUUUCAUUUUUUAGGUUCACCGUUGUUUUUGUGGUUGGUAAGGUUUUCUGAUUUAUAGGUGUGAUUUUUGAAUUAAAUGUCUACAUUACCUAGAUUUAGUUGAGGUUGGACGUACUCACCUACAUGUUUGAUUUGUUAGAAUAAUUGAGUUAUUGAACUCCAUUUGUAAAUGAUGGAAAAGUGCUAGUGUGCUACAAGAGUUUGUUCUACUAGUUGUUUGUUCUUACUUACAUGUUUGUCCUGCAAGAGAACUCUUUUCAGUCCCUUACCUUUCAAUCUUAUGGGAUUUGGGUAAAAACAAUUAUAUCAAAACAAGUACUUUUUUCCUUUUUAACUCUCUAUGCUCAUCAAAUAAAUAAGUCAAUGUAUUCCCCAAGUAUCUGAAAUUUUACCAUUUGAAAUAGGUGAAUUAAAUUAUCUUUGCUUUAACCUUAAUUUUAAAUCAACUCAUGACACUUACUCUUUGAGAUGUGCAACUAGUCUAUGAAACUUCACUAAUGACAUUUCUGUUGGAAGUUGUGUUAGACAUGUACUGUCACCAAACUCCUUCCCUUAUCUUGUGAGUGCAUGUUUAUUUAUUUUAUUGUUUUUGUGUCAAAGUGAUCAUCUUGUUAUGAUUGUUAUCUUAGUAGUUUUAGGUUGUGGUUUUGGUACAUGGUAUAGGCUGCUGGUUGUGCAAGGGAUGAUCAGAGCAGGUAGAAAUUGAAAGAAAUAUGUCCUUCACCCAAGGUGCAUUAAGUCUAAUACCAAGGUUCAGAUUAAUUGCGAACAAUUAAUUCAGUGAGAUCAAGUGAUCGGAACAGCUAGCUGGAGCAAUGCUUCCGAUCAGUGAGUUCUAAUGGAAAUUGAACUCACAACUUACUCUUGACUGAACCUACAAGGUCACACCAAUGACACGUAACAGAUCAUCGGAUUAAAUGAAUCGGAAAUUCAUUUAAUAGCUUUUCGGGAAUUAGUUGGAAAAACGUAUUAUACGAUACGACCUUGCAUCGGAAUCGUAUAUCGUAUCGCGAAUAUUCGUAAGCUGGGCGACACGAAUAAAUCGUAUCGUACGACGGUGAUUCGUCGUAUACGAAACGAUAAAUAAUAUAUCGGAAAUAUAUUGAAUCGCGAAUACGAAGGGCAUCGGAGUUGCCGGCCCGUCGAGCCACGCACGUAAGCCUGCAAGGCCCAACGAGCCAGCAAGCUCGCGAGCAAAGGCGAACAAGGCCAGCCCAUUGGGCGCGAGCACGCAACAGCACGCAACAGCAGCAACAUGUAGCGACGAGCGAGCAGGUCCAUGGCCCAGCUGCUCGGCGCGCGCGCGCUGUGGGCUUCGGCCUGCAGUGUGUGUUGCUGGGCGGCGGGCUGUGGUCCAUGUGCUUGUGUAUGUGGCCGGUCAAGGCUCUUUAGUCUUGGCCGGUUACAUCAUUAAUACAAUAGGUCAAUUGUAUUAUUCCAACACACACAAUUCUUACUCAAACCCUAGACACAGAGAACCCUAAUUCUCUCUGUGCCUCCAAAGUGUGUUCAUCCCAAAAGCAUAAACUCUUGAUCGAUUGCCUAAGCUACGAUAAUCAAGACGGAUUUGAUCGUGUCGGUUAACCAAGUAGAGGAACGACAUCUGGAGUUCUAAGAUCGUGUUCGUUGACAAUUUGUGGAAAACACGCUUCAAACGUAAGUCUGCUUAAUCUGUGCUUUAUACAUGCUUCCUGGCUUUGGGGAUUGUUUCCGCACAUGUUAUUAUGUUUAACUGUAUUCCCCUACAGUGGUAUCAUGAGCCUUAUGUAUUCAAAGCAUGAAUUAGCAUGAUUUAAUUGCUUUUUCAUCUGUCGAAAAUUUUGAAUUUUUUGUUGAA